GAUGAACGCUGGCGGCGUGCCUAAUACAUGCAAGUCGAGCGAACGGACGAGAAGCUUGCUUCUCUGAUGUUAGCGGCGGACGGGUGAGUAACACGUGGAUAACCUACCUAUAAGACUGGGAUAACUUCGGGAAACCGGAGCUAAUACCGGAUAAUAUUUUGAACCGCAUGGUUCAAAAGUGAAAGACGGUCUUGCUGUCACUUAUAGAUGGAUCCGCGCUGCAUUAGCUAGUUGGUAAGGUAACGGCUUACCAAGGCAACGAUGCAUAGCCGACCUGAGAGGGUGAUCGGCCACACUGGAACUGAGACACGGUCCAGACUCCUACGGGAGGCAGCAGUAGGGAAUCUUCCGCAAUGGGCGAAAGCCUGACGGAGCAACGCCGCGUGAGUGAUGAAGGUCUUCGGAUCGUAAAACUCUGUUAUUAGGGAAGAACAUAUGUGUAAGUAACUGUGCACAUCUUGACGGUACCUAAUCAGAAAGCCACGGCUAACUACGUGCCAGCAGCCGCGGUAAUACGUAGGUGGCAAGCGUUAUCCGGAAUUAUUGGGCGUAAAGCGCGCGUAGGCGGUUUUUUAAGUCUGAUGUGAAAGCCCACGGCUCAACCGUGGAGGGUCAUUGGAAACUGGAAAACUUGAGUGCAGAAGAGGAAAGUGGAAUUCCAUGUGUAGCGGUGAAAUGCGCAGAGAUAUGGAGGAACACCAGUGGCGAAGGCGACUUUCUGGUCUGUAACUGACGCUGAUGUGCGAAAGCGUGGGGAUCAAACAGGAUUAGAUACCCUGGUAGUCCACGCCGUAAACGAUGAGUGCUAAGUGUUAGGGGGUUUCCGCCCCUUAGUGCUGCAGCUAACGCAUUAAGCACUCCGCCUGGGGAGUACGACCGCAAGGUUGAAACUCAAAGGAAUUGGCGGGGACCCGCACAAGCGGUGGAGCAUGUGGUUUAAUUCGAAGCAACGCGAAGAACCUUACCAAAUCUUGACAUCCUUUGACAACUCUAGAGAUAGAGCUUUCCCCUUCGGGGGACAAAGUGACAGGUGGUGCAUGGUUGUCGUCAGCUCGUGUCGUGAGAUGUUGGGUUAAGUCCCGCAACGAGCGCAACCCUUAAGCUUAGUUGCCAUCAUUAAGUUGGGCACUCUAAGUUGACUGCCGGUGACAAACCGGAGGAAGGUGGGGAUGACGUCAAAUCAUCAUGCCCCUUAUGAUUUGGGCUACACACGUGCUACAAUGGACAAUACAAAGGGCAGCGAAACCGCGAGGCCAAGCAAAUCCCAUAAAGUUGUUCUCAGUUCGGAUUGUAGUCUGCAACUCGACUACAUGAAGCUGGAAUCGCUAGUAAUCGUAGAUCAGCAUGCUACGGUGAAUACGUUCCCGGGUCU
rnacentral:rRNA from 1 species